AACGAACGCUGGCGGCAUGCCUUACACAUGCAAGUCGAACGGCAGCACGGGAGCAAUCCUGGUGGCGAGUGGCGAACGGGUGAGUAAAGUAUCGGAACGUGCCCAGUCGUGGGGGAUAACGUAGCGAAAGUUACGCUAAUACCGCAUACGAUCUAUGGAUGAAAGCGGGGGAUCGCAAGACCUCGCGCGAUUGGAGCGGCCGAUAGCAGAUUAGGUAGUUGGUGGGGUAAAGGCUCACCAAGCCGACGAUCUGUAGCUGGUCUGAGAGGACGACCAGCCACACGGGGACAGAGACACGGCCCAGCCUCCGACGGGAGGCAGCAGGGGGGAAUUUUGGACAAUGGGCGAAGGCCUGAUCCAGCCAUGCCGCGUGCAGGAUGAAGGCCUUCGGGUUGUAAACUGCUUUUGUACGGAACGAAAAGGUUUGGCCUAAUAAGCUGAGCUCAUGACGGUACCGUAAGAAUAAGCACCGGCUAACUACGUGCCAGCAGCCGCCGUAA
rnacentral:rRNA from 1 species